rnacentral:misc_RNA from 2 species
AACGCACCUUGCGCUCCUUGGUAUUCCGAGGAGCAUGCCUGUUUGAGUGUCAUGAAACUCUCACCCUUCAACUUUCUUAAUAGUGGUUGCGGGCGUGGACUUGAGCGUUGCUGGUUUUUAUUAACCGGCUCGCUUGAAAUGAAUUAGCAGAUCCUUUUUGUAAUCGGUUCCACUCGACGUGAUAAGUAUUUCGCCGAGGACAUCUUAACGGAUGGCCGAGAUAAAGAAAGUCUUAGAUCCGCUUCUAAUUCUUAGCUUUACGCAAGUAAACUAAACCCAUUUUAUGAUCUGGCCUCAAAUCAGGUAGGACUACCCGCUGAACUUAA